rnacentral:rRNA from 1 species
UACGUAGGGACCAAGCGUUGUUCGGAUUUACUGGGCGUAAAGGGCGCGUAGGCGGCAUGACAAGUCACUUGUGAAAUCUCCGGGCUUAACUCGGAACGGCCAAGUGAAACUGUCAAGCUAGAGUGCGGAAGGGGCAAUCGGAAUUCUUGGUGUAGCGGUGAAAUGCGUAGAUAUCAAGAGGAACACCUGAGGUGAAGACGGGUUGCUGGGCCGACACUGACGCUGAUGCGCGAAAGCGUGGGGAGCGAACAGG